UGGCGAACGGGUGAGUAACGCGUGAGGAACCUGCCUCAAAGAGGGGGACAACAGUUGGAAACGACUGCUAAUACCGCAUAAGCCCACGACCCGGCAUCGGGUAGAGGGAAAAGGAGCAAUCCGCUUUGAGAUGGCCUCGCGUCCGAUUAGCUAGUUGGUGAGGUAACGGCCCACCAAGGCGACGAUCGGUAGCCGACCUGAGAGGGUGACCGGCCACAUUGGGACUGAGACACGGCCCAA
rnacentral:rRNA from 1 species